CCCUGCCCCCACCCUCACCCCAAAGCCCCCAAUCCCAUCUGGGGCCCCGGGCAGGUCAGGCCCAGCCCCACCCCAUCGGGUUGCCUUCGCCCUGGGUCUGGGAUGCCUGACUCUUUGCCCCUCCCCUGCAGCUCUGAAGUCCUUUGCCCUCCUCUUCCUGCCAAGUCAGGGGGCCCUGACUGCUCCCCUGCCCCCUGUCCAGGCCCUCGGGAGGCUCCCUGAGGCCUCUGGGAAAGCAGGAAUCCACCAGCCCUCCCCCACCCCAGCUGGGAUCAGGACCUUGGACAGAAAAGAGAUGGGCCCCUUUGGAGCAUCUUUGGGGCUCGGUCUCUCUCUGACUCCCUGGCCACCCCCUGCAGGCCUCUGGUCCCCGGUCAUAGCAAUUGAGAGCACCGAACAGAGUAGGUUUGGGGCCUCAGUUUGGUGAACUUAGUCCAGCUCCUUCCCGGCUCUAAGCCCCAGUUUCCCCAUUUGUGAAGCAGAGUCACCAAUAGCUUCUGCCCAGGACUCCUCAGCAUGAAGGGAAAUUAUUUCUGUGAAACCUCAGCACAGCGCCCAGGAAGUAGUGAACCUCCUCAAGCAGGCGCUGUAGGGUGGAGGGCAGGGAGCCACUGGGGAGGGGUGGCCCCUGUAGCCCCCAGGCCAUCCUUCCUUCUCCCCCACACCCCCAUCCCCCACCCCCACUAGGUGGGAGGUGGGUUGGCCCAGAUCUUUCCAGGCCACCAUUCCUACAAGUUAAUGAUCACAGACCUUAUCAGAGCCUUUUGCCGUUUAUAAAUUUAUAAAACAAAAGAGAAAUAAUAAAGCACGUGGGUAAUUAGUAACUAGGUCAGCUCUGCUGAGGAGAGGGGAGGCAUCGAGCUCGGACCCACCCAGUUCUCCAGGAGACGGGGAGUCCGCCAGCGGAUGGGGAUGUAGAACGGGCAGCCUCUAAUGGCGCCUGCUGGUGAGGCGGGGUGCCUGUGGCCAUACAGGAAAGGGGAGCAGCUCCCACCUCGAGGCUCUGUCUGCCUCAGAUGGGGGUCUCGCUCUGUUGCCCAGGCUGGAGUGUAGUGGCGCAAUCUUGGCUCGCUGCAACCUCCGCCUCCCGGGUUCAAGCAAUUCUCCUGCCUGAGCCUCCCGAGUAUCUGGAACUACAGAGCCAGAUUCUUACUCUGUCACCCAGGCUGGCAUGAUCAUAGCUCACUUCAGCCUAGAACUCCUGGCUUCAAGCAAUCCUCCCACCUCAGCAUCCCAAGUAGCUGGAACUACAGAGAGCCAGCUGUUAAACACUAGCCAACACCCCACUGAUGCUGUUCCUUCUACCUGAAACACCUCGCAUUGCCGGUGAGCUCUAAAGACAAGAGGACCUGGGUCUGCAUUUCCCAAAGGCAAGAAUCUGGUAUCACCUGCAUAUUAUUUUCCCAUAUUUGAGCACCACUGCCUUUUGCAUUAUUUACUUAGCAGUUUUGCUCCUGUCAACUCACUUUUUUAAAACUAAACUUAUUUUAAAAAGAAAAGUUUUGGCCGGGAGCGGUGGCUCACGCCUGUAAUCCCAGCACUUUGGGAGGCCGAGGUGGGCAGAUCACCUGAGGUCGGGAGUUUGAGACCAGCCUGACCAACAUGGAGAAACUCCGUCUCUACUAAAAAUACAAAAUUAGCUGGGCGUGGUGGCUCAUGCCUGUAAUCCUAGCUACUCGGGAGGCUGUGGCAGGAGAAUUGCUUGAACCCAGGAGGCGGAGGUUGCAAUGAGUCGAGAUCGCCCCAUUGUACUCCAGCCUGGGGAACAAGAACGAAACUCCAUCUCAAAAAAAAAGAAAAAGAAAAGAAAAGCUUUAUAUAAUUUUAAUACUCAAAAAAACAGUAUCCCGGCCAGGCACAGUGGCUCACACCUGUAAUCCCAGCAAUUUGGGAGGCCAGGCAGGAGGAUCACUUGAGGCUAGGGGUUUAAGACCACUUGAGGCUAGGGCCAACAUGGUGAGACCCCGUCUCUACUAAAAAUACAAAAAUUAGCCAGGCAUAGUGGCAUGUGCCUGUAAUCCCAACUACUCGGGUGGCUGAGGAACAAAAAUCACCUGAAUCCAGGAGGCGGAGGUUGCUGCGAGCCGAGAUCGUGCCACUGCACUUCAGCCUGGGUGACGGAGUGAGACUCUGUCUCAAAAAAAGAAAAAGAGUAUCCCUUGUCAUAAAUAGCAAGCAGUCAUUCAGACAUGGAAAUGAGGCAUUCACACUUGUUCUUGUUUCACACUAAGGCCCUAAGCCUAAGGAGGGUUUCUCUAUGUUGAAAGGAAAUGAGGCAGUGUUCAGAGGGCUGUUAAAGAUAGACUAGCAACUAACUGAAACUUUCUCCUCAAUGUAAGCACUUUAGAAGGGACUGAAAAGAGAAUGUUCUUCCUACAUGUACCGUAUCACCUCCAAUUACCUCGUGUACCACUAUUUUGCAAAUAAAUGCCAGAGGCAAGAGUACAUUUUGAUGCUUUAGCCUAGCACUCAAAGCCCUCCUCGAUUUGAAUCUUUCCAGCCUCAUCUUGCACAGCCCCUCCAUACCCAGGCCUCACCCACUCUAUUUGCCAUCUCCAGAACAUACCCCUAACCGUCUCACCUCUGUGCCUUUGUGCAAGCUGCUCCCUCUACCUGGAAACCUCCAUUUGUCAAGCUGCUGCUGUCUUCAAGAUCUUCCUGGUCAGAAUCUCCUGCUGUCCUCUUCUGCCGCCCGCAGCAAUGUGAGCCUUCCCUACUCACUGGAGCAGAGCUACGGCAUCAGAAUGCCCUGGACCAGGGGUUAGAAACACAGAUUUCUGAGUCUGCACUCGAAGAUUUUUUCUUUCUUUCUUUCUUUCUUUUUUUUUGUUUUCCAAUUUUUCUAAUUUUAGAGAUGGGGUCUCACCACAUUGCCCAGGCUGGUCUCAAGCUCCUGGACUCAGGUCAUCCUACCACCUAGGCCUUCUAAAGUGUUAGGAUGAGCCCUGAACCUUGUAACAUGAACAUUUAUUAGUUAUAUCUGGAAAAAAAUAUAAAGUUAUUUUUAUUUGGGUGAUACUGCCUUCAAAAAAAAACAAAAAAAACAGGAGGCCGAGCACAGUGGCUCAUGCCUGUAAUCCCAGUGCUUUGGGAGGCUGAGGCAGGCGGAUCACUUGAGGCCAGGAGUUCAAGACCAGCCUGGCCAACAUAGUGAAACCCCGCUUCUAUUGAAAAUACAAAAAUGGGCCAGGCGCGGUGGCUCAUACCUGUAAUCCCAGCACUUUGGGAGGCCAAGGCGAGUGAAUAACGAGGUCAAGAGAUCAAGACCAUCCUGGUAAACAUGGAGAAACCCUGUCUUUACUAAAAAUACAAAAA